rnacentral:lncRNA from 1 species
CGAGCCAAGAGCCGGGACGAACUUCCCUCCAGCUGGCCAAUCCUCUCCUGCGCAGCUGACAGUUCCACCCUGAGAGAACUGAUCUUGGUAGCUUGAGCCUAAAUUCGAUCGCUGGCGCUCUUCUUGUGUUCCUCAAGCUCCUUCGCGAAUUCUGCCUUCCUCCGACUGUACUCCAUGAUCCCCUUCACGUAGAGAUUCCGAAAGCGGGUGGCCUCCGAGGUAGCUUCAGAGUAACCCUCUCUUAACCUUCGCCUUCCAUCUUCUUCGACCCUUUUGUCAAAUGAAGAACUUUCUUCUUUAGCCGCUGGAUCGUGGACUUCAGCGGAAUCCC